UCUAAUGCCUAUAACGUUAAAGCAUCGUAUCCCAUUAUAACUCUAUAGUUAAGCACACUUGGGCUAGAGUAGUACGAGGAUGGGUGACCUCCUGGGAAGUCCUAGUAUUUGAC
rnacentral:rRNA from 1 species